GACGAACGCUGGCGGCGUGCCUAACACAUGCAAGUAGAACGCAGUUGCGAACGGGUGAGUAACGCGUAGUUAACUGCCCAAUAGGGGGGGAUAACCAAUGGAAACGCUAGCUAAUACCGCAUACUGUGAGAUGGACCAGCGUUGUAUUAGCUAGUUGUUGGGGUAAAGGCUCACCAAGGCGACGAUACAUAGCCGACCGGAGAGGGUGAUCGGCCACACUGGGACUGAGACCCGGCCCAGACUCCUACGGGAGUCAUCAGUAGGGAAUCUUCGGCAAUGGACGGAAGUCUGACCGAGCAACGCCGCGUGAGUGAAGAAGGUUUUCGGAUCGUAAAGCUCUGUUGUUAGAGAAGCGGUAGCUAACCAGAAAGGGACGGCUAACUACGUGCCAGCAGCCGCGGUAAUUC
rnacentral:rRNA from 1 species